rnacentral:rRNA from 1 species
CUACACAUGCAGUCGACGAAUUUUAAGAGCUUGCUCUUAAAGUUAGUGGCGCACGGGUGAGUAACACGUAGCUAAUCUGCCCUAUGCUAAGGGACAACAGUUGGAAACGACUGCUAAUACCUUAUACUCCGCUAUCACUUAAGUGGUAUCGGGAAAGUUUUUCGGCAUAGGAUGAGGCUGCGGUCUAUCAGCUUGUUGAUGGGGUAAUGGCCUACCAAGGCUAUGACGGAUAGCUGGUCUGAGAGGAUGAUCAGCCACACUGGAACUGAGAUACGGUCCAGACUCCUACGGGAGGCAGCAGUGAGGAAUUUUACACAAUGGGCGAAAGCCUGAUGUAGCAACGCCGCGUGGAGGAUGACGGAUUUAGGUCUGUAAACUCCUUUUAUAAGGGAAGAAAUUUGACGGUACCUUAUGAAUAAGCACCGGCUAACUCCGUGCCAGCAGCCGCGGUAAUACGGGGGGUGCAAGCGUUACUCGGAAUCACUGGGCGUAAAGGGAGCGUAGGCGUUUUAUUAAGUCUUGAGUGAAAGCCCGCAGCCUAACUGCGGAACUGCUCAGGAAACUGAUAGAAUUGAGUAUGGAAGAGGUAGGUGGAAUUUCCAGUGUAGGGGUAAAAUCCGUAGAUAUUGGAAGGAAUACCAGAAGCGAAGGCGACCUACUGGGACAUUACUGACGCUGAGCUCGAAAGCGUGGGGAGCAACAGGAUUAGAUACCCUGGUAGUCCACGCCCUAAACGAUGACACUAGUCGUUACGGAGCUAGUCUCUGUAGUGACGCAGCUACGCAUUAAGUGUUCGCCUGGGGAGUACG